AUUGAACGCUUGCGACAUGCCUUACACAUGCCAGUCGAACGGCAGCAUAUGAGCUUGCUCCUGAUGGCGAGUGGCGAACGGGUGAGUAAUAUAUCGGAACGUGCCCUAGAGUGGGGGAUAACUAGUCGAAAGAUUCGCUACUACCGCAUACGAUCUACGGAAGAAAGUGGGGGAUCGCGAGACCUCAUGCUCCUGGAGCCGCCGAUAUCUGAUUAGCUAGUUGGUGGGGUAAACGCGUACCAAGGCGACGAUCAGUAGCUGGUCUGAGAGGACGAGCAGCCACACUGGGACUGGGACACGGCCCAGACUCCUGCGGGAGGCAGCAGUGGGGAAUUUUGGACAAUGGGGGCAACCCUGAUCCAGCAAUGCCGCGUGAGUGAAGAAGGCCUUCGGGGUGUAAAGCUGUUUGGUCAGGGAAGAAACGGUUUUGGAUAAUACCCAGAGCUAAUGACGGUACCUGAAGAAUAAGCACCGGCUAACUACGUGCCAGCAGCCGCCGUAA
rnacentral:rRNA from 1 species